GCUGAUGUGUAUGAUGACUAAAGCUUUUUUCCCCAUCAGAGCGAUACUGUUGAUCUUACUGUAUUAGCCAGUCUUGUCUGAUACAUCAGC